rnacentral:lncRNA from 1 species
GCAGAGGUUUGGUGGAAUUGAAAUUCUAAGGUAGUUGGAUGUUGAUUUGGUGAGAUUUAGUUGUUAGUAGGGGGUAGUGGAUAGUUUUUUUAUUUUAAUUUUGUUUUUGUUUUUAUAAGUUCUCAAAAAAAAUCUAUCUGUUUCACGUUUCUUUCUGUCUCCAUACAUUUUUUCUUUUCUUCCUUCUCUGACAUCCUUCUUUCUUCUUUUGAUUUCGUCCCUCUCUUUGGCUUUUCUUUUUGGAUUCUUGAUCAUCGUGUUGCAAUUGUGGGUGUGGUAC